GACGAACGCUGGCGGCGUGCUUAACACAUGCAAGUCGCACGAAGUGGCGAACGGGUGAGUAACGCGUAAGCAACCUGCCCUUCAGAGGGGGAGAACAGUUGGAAAAGACUGCUAAUACCGCAUACUGAAGGAGGGGAUUGCGUCUGAUUGGCACGAUGGAGGGGUAACGGCCCACAAAGGCGCUGAUCAGUAGCCGGUCGGAGAGGAAGAACGGCCACAGUGGGACGGAGACACGGCCAAGACUCUUACGGGAGGCAGCAGUGGGGGAUCUUCCGCAAUGGACGGAAGUCUGACGGAGCAACGCCGCGGGAGUGAUAACGGCCUUCGGGUUGUAAAGCUCUGUUAAUCGGGACGCGGUACCGGAAUAGAAAGCCAUGGCUAACUACGUGCCAGCAGCCGCGGUAAUUC
rnacentral:rRNA from 1 species